UUGCCCAUUUAAGACUGUUCAUGUCUCAUGUCCUAAAUGAAUAACACAGGGGGGUAGAAGAAUUCUCUCAAAAACCUGAAGUGAUGGCUUCUGAUCCUGUCGGGAGAAAUAAGC